UAGAAGCAGCCAUCAUUUAAAGAAAGCGUAAUAGCUCACUGGUCGAGUCGGCCUGCGCGGAAGAUGUAACGGGGCUAAACCAUGCACCGAAGCUGCGGCAGCGACGCUGAUGCGUUGUUGGGUAGGGGAGCGUUCUGUAAGCCUGUGAAGGUGUACUGUGAGGUAUGCUGGAGGUAUCAGAAGUGCGAAUGCUGACAUAAGUAACGAUAAAGCGGGUGAAAAGCCCGCUCGCCGGAAGACCAAGGGUUCCUGUCCAACGUUAAUCGGGGCAGGGUGAGUCGACCCCUAAGGCGAGGCCGAAAGGCGUAGUCGAUGGGAAACAGGUUAAUAUUCCUGUACUUGGUGUUACUGCGAAGGGGGGACGGAGAAGGCUAUGUUGGCCGGGCGACGGUUGUCCCGGUUUAAGCGUGUAGGCUGGUUUUCCAGGCAAAUCCGGAAAAUCAAGGCUGAGGCGUGAUGACGAGGCACUACGGUGCUGAAGCAACAAAUGCCCUGCUUCCAGGAAAAGCCUCUAAGCAUCAGGUAACAUUGAAUCGUACCCCAAACCGACACAGGUGGUCAGGUAGAGAAUACCAAGGCGCUUGAGAGAACUCGGGUGAAGGAACUAGGCAAAAUGGUGCCGUAACUUCGGGAGAAGGCACGCUGAUAUGUAGGUGAAGCGACUUGCUCGUGGAGCUGAAAUCAGUCGAAGAUACCAGCUGGCUGCAACUGUUUAUUAAAAACACAGCACUGUGCAAACACGAAAGUGGACGUAUACGGUGUGACGCCUGCCCGGUGCCGGAAGGUUAAUUGAUGGGGUCAGCGCAAGCGAAGCUCUUGAUCGAAGCCCCGGUAAACGGCGGCCGUAACUAUAACGGUCCUAAGGUAGCGAAAUUCCUUGUCGGGUAAGUUCCGACCUGCACGAAUGGCGUAAUGAUGGCCAGGCUGUCUCCACCCGAGACUCAGUGAAAUUGAACUCGCUGUGAAGAUGCAGUGUACCCGCGGCAAGACGGAAAGACCCCGUGAACCUUUACUAUAGCUUGACACUGAACAUUGAGCCUUGAUGUGUAGGAUAGGUGGGAGGCUUAGAAGUGUGGACGCCAGUCUGCAUGGAGCCGACCUUGAAAUACCACCCUUUAAUGUUUGAUGUUCUAACGUUGACCCGUAAUCCGGGUUGCGGACAGUGUCUGGUGGGUAGUUUGACUGGGGCGGUCUCCUCCUAAAGAGUAACGGAGGAGCACGAAGGUUGGCUAAUCCUGGUCGGACAUCAGGAGGUUAGUGCAAUGGCAUAAGCCAGCUUGACUGCGAGCGUGACGGCGCGAGCAGGUGCGAAAGCAGGUCAUAGUGAUCCGGUGGUUCUGAAUGGAAGGGCCAUCGCUCAACGGAUAAAAGGUACUCCGGGGAUAACAGGCUGAUACCGCCCAAGAGUUCAUAUCGACGGCGGUGUUUGGCACCUCGAUGUCGGCUCAUCACAUCCUGGGGCUGAAGUAGGUCCCAAGGGUAUGGCUGUUCGCCAUUUAAAGUGGUACGCGAGCUGGGUUUAGAACGUCGUGAGACAGUUCGGUCCCUAUCUGCCGUGGGCGCUGGAGAACUGAGGGGGGCUGCUCCUAGUACGAGAGGACCGGAGUGGACGCAUCACUGGUGUUCGGGUUGUCAUGCCAAUGGCACUGCCCGGUAGCUAAAUGCGGAAGAGAUAAGUGCUGAAAGCAUCUAAGCACGAAACUUGCCCCGAGAUGAGUUCUCCCUGACCCUUUAAGGGUCCUGAAGGAACGUUGAAGACGACGACGUUGAUAGGCCGGGUGUGUAAGCGCAGCGAUGCGUUGAGCUAACCGGUACUAAUGAACCGUGAGGCUUAACCUUACAACGCCGAAGCUGUU
rnacentral:rRNA from 1 species